GUAGGUGGCAAGCGUUGUCCGGGAAUUAUUGGGCGUAAAGCGCGCGCAGGCGGUUCGUUUAAGUCUGAUGUGAAAGCCCACGGGCUCAACCGUGGAGGGUCAUUGGAAACUGGAGAACUUGAGUACAGAAGAGGAAAGCGGAAUUCCACGUGUAGCGGUGAAAUGCGUAGAGAUGUGGAGGAACACCAGUGGCGAAGGCGGCUUCUGGUCUGUAACUGACGCUGAGGCGCGAAAGCGUGGGGAGCAAACAGGAUUAGAUACCCUGGUAGUCCACGCCGUAAACGAUGAGUGCUAAGUGUUAGGGGGUUUCCGCCCCUUAGUGCUGCAGCUAACGCAUUAAGCACUCCGCCUGGGGAGUACGGCCGCAAAGGCUG
rnacentral:rRNA from 1 species